rnacentral:rRNA from 1 species
CCUACGGGUGGCAGCAGUGAGGAAUAUUGGUCAAUGGGCGCGAGCCUGAACCAGCCAAGUAGCGUGAAGGAUGACGGCCCUACGGGUGGUAAACUUCGUUUAUAAAGGAAGAAAGUGAGGCACGUGUGCCUUUUUGUAUGUACUUUAUGAAUAAGGAUCGGCUAACUCCGUGCCAGCAGCCGCGGUAAUACGGAGGAUCCGAGCGUUAUCCGGAUUUAUUGGGUUUAAAGGGAGCGUAGGUGGGUUGUUAAGUCAGUUGUGAAAGUUUUCGGCUCAACCGUCAAAUUGCCUUUGAUACUGGCAGCCUUGAGUUCAUUUGAGGUAGGCGGAAUUCGUGGUGUAGCGGUGAAAUGCUUAGAUAUCACGCAGAACUCCGAUUGCGAAGGCAGCUUACUAAACUGCCACUGACAUUGAUGCUCGAAAGUGUGGGUAUCAAACAGGAUUAGAUACCCUUGUAGUC